ensembl:lncRNA
UCUUUAUGUUUGAAGCCUGAAAUGUGGCAAAAGGUCGCAAAGUUCAAGGGGGCCGAAUACUUUCGCAAGGCACUGUAUAUAUACAUACAGUGGAAAAGCGAUCUCUGGCGUGAUGAAUCAAGCUUCACAAUCUGGCAGACCGACUGCGAAGAAUAUGGGUUUGGCAGAUGCCAGAAGAACGCUACCUGCCCCAAUGCAUAGUGCCAACUUUAAAGUUUGGUGGAGGAGGAAUAAUGGUCUGGGGCUGUUUUACAUGGUUCGAGCCCCUUAGUUCUAGUGAAGGGAAAUCUUAACACUACAUCAUACAAUGACAUUCUAGAUGAUUCUGUGCUUCCAACUUUGUGGCAACAGUUUGGGGAAGGCCUGUUCCUGUUUCAGCAUGACAAUGCCCCCCUGCACAAUGCGAGGUCCAUACAGAAAUGGUUUGUUGAGAUCGGUGUCAAAGUACUUGACUGGCCUGCACAGAGCCCUGACCUCAACCCCAUCGAACACCUUCGUGAUGAAUUUGAACGCCGACUGUGAGCCAGGCCUAAUCACCCUACGUCAGUGCUCGACCUCACUAAUGCUCUUGUGGCUGAAUGGAAGCAAGUCCCUGCAGCAAUGUUCCAACAUCUAGUGGAAAGCCUUCCCAGAAGAGAGGAGGCUGUUAUAGCACCCGAGGGGGGACCCAACCCAUAUGAAUGACAAUGAUUUUGGAAUGAGAUUUUCGACGAGCAGGUGUCCAUAUAUUUUUGGUCAAGUAGUGUACAUGCUAAUGAUGCUUACAAACAACACUCAUCAUUUACUCAAAUAAUUCAGAGAAUAGCUAGCUGCCUUGAACAGAAAUAGAUCUGUCUAAUGUAAGGUGAACACAUGGUUGAAGUGACUGGUGAGCAUAUGAAGAAUGUGACAGGAUUUGAUGAGCGAUAUGUACAUUCACAGGCAUACACUGAAUGAAUGAUGUCUGAACAAGGUGUGAGAUUCUCUGAGAUAUAUCCUAUUUCUGAAGGAAGUGUGGAGAAUUGUGGAGAAACAUCAGGUUAUCAUCCAGACAAUGUUCCAAAGUAAAAAAAAAUACUUUAUUGCAUUCAGUUAGCACACAAAGCACUGAGGAUGCGCAUCUUGAAAGUCAGCCAUGAAAACAAAACAUAAACAAAACAUAAUACAUACCGGGUUCCUUUUCUCCCCAACUCUUCACUACAGAGGGUCGGUAUGAAUAACACAGUAUCAUUAUCAUCAUCACACUAACAAUGGAGCAGAGGUCAUCGCCGGGUUGUGUACCGGAGUAUUUGGAAAUAGUGACAAGAUGGUUUUUCAACACUGUCAAUACUAUUGAAACUAUUAAGUUGAAGUUUUUUCAAUAACAAAAAUAAUAUUUGUAGCUACUUUUUAAGCAAAUACUUGCAGUUAACUUGUGCAAAACUUUAGUAGAUAAAGCAGAUUGCGUUCUUCAUUUCACAUGUCACAUUAUUUGACAUUCUGAAGCUCAGCACAGUUCCCCAGGACGGUAGAGGUGUUUGUUUGUAAAUAGCACAACGGGAGAAAACGGCUGUGUAUUGACAGGGAUCGCUUUUGAUAUUGAAAGUCAAGUGUUUUUUUUUGCUUCAAUAGAGUAAAUCAGGGACGUACAACUACAGCUUUCCUUCACAGAAAAUACAUCAGUCCAACACAUUCGGCAGAAAAUAGCUUCAUUUUCAUCAGAUGAUAACAGACUUGGCUGGCAGCCACAAGUAAAUAAGUCUACAAUCAAAAAGCUAAAACGAUGCAUGGCCAUCAUAUUUCUGUUUAUCAUAGAAAGAACGUAGCCAGCUACAUGUCCUAAUAUUAAGCUUAAAGUUCAUCUUGAAUUUCACCGGAAAAAAGUAGGCUGGCUACACAUAGAGAAAAAGUGCAGAAGAAAAGUAGCAACACAUCAGUCAGAGCACUAUCUGCUGACCAUUAGUGAAUUCUCAUCCCAGCAACUGAAGCACAAAAUGAGUCAGAUACCGAGCAGAAAUUAAAAUAAGAACCCGUUUAGAUCUGUGUUUACGAAAAACACAGCAAGAUUUCUUAUGCGUUUUAUCUUUUUUUCCUUCGUAAAAAAUGAUGCGUUAAUGCACCCCCUACAUUUAACUUGCUAGUCUAAGUUACUGAAUUCAUACGGUAACGAGGCAUCAUAUUGAGCACGGUUACAUGCACACAAUAAUGCGAUUGUGGAUAGUUCAGGUUAUAGAAUCAUUUGUUCAAAAUGUUUACAUGCUUUGAUAAAUGCAGAAAAUCAAAACUAACUUUUUACCAAUGAUAUUUUUGCAAAGAUUUUGAUUCUGUCAAGUUUGUAUGUGAAAACUAUUUACACUUUCAGUUUUUCGGAACUCACUUCACUCUUUCACUCAGAUCGAGCUACCAGCGCUGGCACAUACACAGAUCAACUACCCCACUGGAACGCUGAUUAAACCAUGUACGUGUCCUAAUCAUUUGAAGGAUUGAUCAGAAAACCAGGUGUUUUAAUCGGCGUAUGCUCACUUCGGUUAUGACCUGAACGCCAAUUAAGAUAAGUAAUGUAAGGUGUUUACACGGCCUACUGCCAUAAUGAGUUUAAUAUUGAUGUAUUACUGUGUAUGUAAACAUAUUCAUUGUGUAAGCUUUCUGCCGUGUUUGAGAAGUCAUAGCUCUUUGGAUUCAUUAUUUGUACAGCUGCCACUGCUAUCUUUUGAUAUCCUUGCGUUUUUUUUCUCCUCUUCGUUCUCAGCCUAUCUGCUCCUCCCCCCUCUUCUCCGAGCACAGCAGGCAGGCCUCUUGCAUUAGCGACUCCAGACUCCACACAGACACAGCGUGUAUACAUGCUGCUUCAGAGCCAGUACUGUUCUUCCUCUAGACAAGCAUGCGUCAAAACUUUGUUCAUUUGCAUAAUGUCUUUCGUUCACACUCGCUUGUACAUUUCCAAACUCACCAAAAAUUACAUUUCCGUAGCUCCUACCUAUAUAUGUGUGACUUUAUGAGCUGGAUUGCCUGUCUUUGCACUCAUUAGCAUAUUUAGCUAGCAGCAUCCAUGGAAAUUCUCAAUUACUUGUGCUACUUUUGUUAACAUUCUGGUAACAGAUGCCAAAGUGUAUUUUUUGCUUGUUUUUUUUGACGCCCCCUUGUGUACUAAGCCGGUAAUACUGUAAAUCCCAGGAUGACAGAAGGACGGUUUGACGAUGUUAAAAUCUGGAAACCACCCAAACCUAGUCAUCACCCUGGGAGCCAUCUAACCCUAUGUGUAUGUGUGUGUGUGCCGUUAAUUAACAAGCACAAAUUAGCCCCGGUGCUUUUCCUCCAUAAGACAACAUAUAUUAUCUUCUUUAAGGCAAAUACAUUAUUGCAUCUUCUACAAUAUGAAUCAAUUCUGUCCUGCAUCACCAAAACAAGCGCAGAAAGAAGCAAUGGAAAUUAUGCAGGAUGGAAGGAAGUAGAAAACAAGACUUGAAAACACUGAUAAUCCUCUUAAACUUGUAUUUAUUUGAUCAGAUAAUGGUUAUCUGCUAUCAUCUUAGCAAUGUUUACCAUAAGCAGGGUUUGGCAGACAUGGAUUACAUUUAGAAAGUAAACUAGCCAACCCUGACCAUAAGAUGGGGAUGGGGAGUAAAAUACAUUCUGAUAGCAGGUCAUUAUUGAUAAGGUAUGUGUUGUUCUGAUAGCAGGUCAUUAUUGAUAAGGCAUGUGUUGUUCUGAUAGCAGGUCAUUAUUGAUAAGGUAUGUGUUGUUCUGAUAGCAGGUCAUUAUUGAUAAGGCAUGUGUUGUUCUGAUAGCAGGUCAUUACUGAUAAGGCAUGUGUUGUUCUGAUAGCAGGUCAUUACUGAUAAGGCAUGUGUUGUUCUGAUAGCAGGUCAUUACUGAUAAGGCAUGUGUUGUUCUGAUAGCAGGUCAUUACUGAUAAGGUAUGUGUUGUUUUGAUAGCAGGUCAUUACUGAUAAGGCAUGUGUUGUUCUGAUAGCAGGUCAUUAUUGAUAAGGUAUGUGUUGUUCUGAUAGCAGGUCAUUAUUGAUAAGGCAUGUGUUGUUCUGAUAGCAGGUCAUUAUUGAUAAGGUAUGUGUUGUUCUGAUAGCAGGUCAUUAUUGAUAAGGCAUGUGUUGUUCUGAUAGCAGGUCAUUAUUGAUAAGGCAUGUGUUGUUCUGAUAGCAGGUCAUUAUUGAUAAGGUAUGUGUUGUUCUGAUAGCAGGUCAUUAUUGAUAAGGCAUGUGUUGUUCUGAUAGCAGGUCAUUAUUGAUAAGGUAUGUGUUGUUCUGAUAGCAGGUCAUUAUUGAUAAGGCAUGUGUUGUUCUGAUAGGUCAUUAUUGAUAAGGCAUGUGUUGUUCUGAUAGGUCAUUAUCGAUAAGGCAUGUGUUGUUCUGAUAGGUCAUUAUCGAUAAGGCAUGUGUUGUUCUGAUAGGUCAUUAUCGAUAAGGCAUGUGUUGUUCUGAUAGGUCAUUAUUGAUAAGGAAUUUAUUUCAACUAACACUGCUUCCUCACUGUUGAACUGGUUUCCCAUCAGUUACAGACACAGGGAGAAGAGCUGAGAAAGGAAGGCAUUGGGGGUGUUAGAAUGGUGUGUACAGAAUAUUCUACUGUAGAGGAUUUGGUGUGUAAAAGACAGAAAUUGAAUAUUGACAUGGAAUAUACCAGCCAAUCAGUUGGUGGGACAUAGAACUGGAAAAUACCAGCCAAUCAGUUGGUGGGACAAUAGAACUGUAAAAUACCAGCCAAUCAGUUGGUGGGACAAUAGAACUGGAAUAUACCAGCCAAUCAGUUGGUGGGACAUAGAACUGGAAAAUACCAGCCAAUCAGUUGGUGGGACAUAGAACUGUAAAAUACCAGCCAAUCAGUUGGUGGGACAAUAGAACUGUAAAAUACCAGCCAAUCAGUUGGUGGGACAAUAGAACUGGAAAAUACCAGCCUAUCAGUUGGUGGGACAUAGAACUGGAAAAUACCAGCCAAUCAGUUGGUGGGACAUAGAACUGGAAAAUACCAGCCAAUCAGUUGGUGGGACAAUAGAACUGGAAAAUACCAGCCAAUCAGUUGGUGGGACAUAGAACUGGAAUAUACCAGCCAAUCAGUUGGUGGGACAAUAGAACUGGAAUAUACCAGCCAAUCAGUUGGUGGGACAAUAGAACUGGAAUAUAC